CUGCGUCUGACGUCAGCGCGUAAGCGCGCAGACUUGACGCUCCGGGGACACCCAAGGUCACCAGGCGGCCCCAGCCCUGCGCUUCUGUCCCUCUCCCCCGCAGCAGGAUCCGCGGCUUUCCUCGACAGAGCGGGUGUCUGCGAGGGUUUCCGCGGAAUGUGCCCAGUUUUCACGGGCCAAGUGCGCACCUGUCCUUCAUCUUCACGGAGCCCCUGUCUGCAUUCUUACUGACUCUGUUUGCCACGAGCCAGACCCUUUCAAUCAGCUGUUUUGCUGCUUUAACGAAAAGGACCCGAGCAGAGCAACUGGAGGGGAGGAGGAAAUGUUUAUUUGGAGGCUCAGGGUUUCAGAGACUGAAAGAGGAGCUCGUCACCUGUCACAGGAGCGAUGACAGACGUCCGUGUGGCACGGGGCCUGGGGCUGAGAGGUGCUGAGAGACAAGGGACGUUCACAGCAAGACUCUCCUCCCGCCGGCUCACGCACACGGGCACCCUGUCUAGAAGCAGGACCCGCCAUCUGCUCCAGAGUCUGCUCUCCCUCCCAGCAAGGUCUCCAGAGGGGGCCAGUAUGCGCGCAGCACAGGACAGAGCCGGGAGGCUGGGCUGCAGCGUCCACAGACCCGCAGAGCAGUGGCAGGGCUGGGGAGGGGCAGCAGUGACGGCCAGCCUGGGGGUCUCCGAGGUGUCAGCAUCUCACGCCAUGUGACCAGCCUGAGCCUGCUCCUGCGUUAGCUCCUGGCCGGCAGGGAGCGGGGCUGCAGCGGGCCACCCAGGACGCCGUCGGCACGUCCACCCUGCAGGACCUUCUGUAGAGCAGCCUCCUGUGUCCACCAGAAGUUGCAAGGAUGAGACGAGUGUCCACGAUGCAGUGGCCACAGCCCGAUUGCCUGGGGUGGGCUGAGGAGGGGCCACUGAGGAGGGAGGUCACUGGUCAGCCAGGGCAAGAUCCUCUGCUGCAUGGACCGUGGCCAGUGCCUGACCAGCUCUGGGCCACACGAGUGGCAGCAACAGUCUUCUGUUAGGAGAGAGGGACAAGAGGACCUGGGUCGGGCUCCAGGGGGCAGCAGCUGUGUGUGGACAUGAAGUGGACGCUGGCAAUUAUUAAAAUCUGUGUGUGGCCUGCUGUGCACGGGCUGUGUGUGCUGUGCACAGGGGGUGGCGUGUGCAUAGGUGGGGCAUUCUGUA